CCUACGGGUGGCAGCAGUGAGGAAUAUUGGUCAAUGGGCGGGAGCCUGAACCAGCCAAGUCGCGUGAGGGAAGACGGUCCUAUGGAUUGUAAAUCCCUUUAGGCGGGGAGCAAGGCCGGGCACGCGUGCCCGGAGGGAGAGUACCCGCAGACUAAGCAUCGGCUAACUCCGUGCCAGCAGCCGCGGUAAUACGGAGGAAGCGAGCGUUCUCCGGAUUUAUUGGGUUUAACGGGUGCGUAGGCGGAGUUUUAAGUCAGCGGUAAAAUGUCCGGGCUAAACCCGGGCGGGCCGUUGAAACUGGUGAGCUUGAGUGUGCGAGAGGGAUGCGGAAUGCGUGGUGUAGCGGUGAAAUGCGUAGAUAUCACGCAGAACUCCGAUUGCGAAGGCAGCACACCGGAGCACGACUGACGCUGAGGUACGAAAGCGUGGGGAUCGAACAGGAUUAGAUACCCUAGUAGUC
rnacentral:rRNA from 1 species